GAUUCUGGCUCAGGAUGAACGCUAGCGACAGGCUAACACAUGCAAGUCGAGGGGCAGCAUAGAAGUAGCAAUACUUGGUGGCGACCGGCGCACGGGUGAGUAACGCGUAUGCAACCUACCUAUCAGAGGGGAAUAACCCGGCGAAAGUCGGACUAAUACCGCAUAAAACAGGGGCACCGCAUGGUGAUAUUUGUUAAAGAAAUUCGCUGAUAGAUGGGCAUGCGUUCCAUUAGGUAGUUGGUGAGGUAACGGCUCACCAAGCCGACGAUGGAUAGGGAACUGAGAGGUUGGUCCCCCACACUGGUACUGAGACACGGACCAGACUCCUACGGGAGGCAGCAGUGAGGAAUAUUGGUCAAUGGGCGGGAGCCUGAACCAGCCAAGUCGCGUUGAAGGAAGAAGGAUCUAUGGUUCGUAAACUUCUUUUGCAGGGGAAUAAAGUGCAGGACGUGUCCUGUUUUGUAUGUACCCUGAGAAUAAGGAUCGGCUAACUCCGUGCCAGCCGCUGC
rnacentral:rRNA from 1 species